GGAGACGAAGACUUCCUUCCAAGGGCA
rnacentral:tRNA from 1 species